rnacentral:rRNA from 1 species
GACGAACGCUGGCGGCGUGCUUAACACAUGCAAGUCGAACGGAGAGGCCCUGCUUUUGUGGGGUGCUCGAGUGGCGAACGGGUGAGUAACACGUGAGUAACCUGCCCUUGACUUUGGGAUAACUUCAGGAAACUGGGGCUAAUACCGGAUAGGAGCUCCUGCUGCAUGGUGGGGGUUGGAAAGUUUCGGCGGUUGGGGAUGGACUCGCGGCUUAUCAGCUUGUUGGUGGGGGAGUGGCUUACCAAGGCUUUGGCGGGUAGCCGGCCUGAGAGGGUGACCGGCCACAUUGGGACUGAGAUACGGCCCAGACUCCUACGGGAGGCAGCAGUGGGGAAUAUUGCACAAUGGGCGGAAGCCUGAUGCAGCAACGCCGCGUGCGGGAUGACGGCCUUCGGGUUGUAAACCGCUUUCGCCUGUGACGAAGCGUGGGUGACGGUAAUGGGUAAAGAAGCACCGGCUAACUACGUG